ensembl:snRNA U1 U1 spliceosomal RNA
CAAAUAACCUGGCAGGGGAGAUAUCAUGAUCAUGAAGGUGGUUUUCCCAAGGCGAGGCUUAUCCAUUGCACUCCGGAUGUGCUGACCCCUGAGAUUUCCCCAAAUGUGGGAAACUCAACCGCAUAAUUUGUGGUAGUGGGGGACUGCGUUUGCACUUUCCCCUG